AGUGAACGCUGGCGGUAGGCCUAACACAUGCAAGUCGAACGGCAGCACAGUAAGAGCUUGCUCUUACGGGUGGCGAGUGGCGGACGGGUGAGGAAUGCAUCGGAAUCUACUUUUUCGUGGGGGAUAACGUAGGGAAACUUACGCUAAUACCGCAUACGACCUACGGGUGAAAGCAGGGGAUCUUCGGACCUUGCGCGAUUGAAUGAGCCGAUGUCGGAUUAGCUAGUUGGCGGGGUAAAGGCCCACCAAGGCGACGAUCCGUAGCUGGUCUGAGAGGAUGAUCAGCCACACUGGAACUGGGACACGGUCCAGACUCCUACGGGAAGCAGCAGUGGGCAAUAUUGGACAAUGGGCGCAAGCCUGAUCCAGCCAUACCGCGUGGGUGAAGAAGGCCUUCGGGUUGUAAAGCCCUUUUGUUGGGAAAGAAAAGCAGCAGGUUAAUACCCCGCUGUUCUGACGGUACCCAAAGAAUAAGCACCGGCUAACUUCGUG
rnacentral:rRNA from 1 species